UAAGUCUCCAUUUAGAAACGUCGUCUUCACAUCCAUUUGAUGAAUCACUAAAUUAUGCACAGAUGCUAAAGCUAUCAAGGUCCUUAUGGUGGUAAUCCUAGAAACAGAAUGGUGCAUCCACAGACAUAACGGCUUCCUUAUAAGUUGUGGGAUCUCCUUCUACUAGAAAGGAACAUGUCGCACAUCCUUGAGAGUUAGAGUCUUCCCAGAUGUCAUCUUCAAUUCCACUUCUCCGAUUCCACGUACUUGUGCGACGGUGUCAUUUCCUAGGGUUACACUUCCUCCACUUGAGUUCUGGUAA